rnacentral:lncRNA from 1 species
AUGAGUGUGCCAGUUCUCAAGGAUGUGGAGGAGGAAGCAGCAGCCACUGCUUCCUCUGCAUGUUCUACCUCCUAUUCUAUAAUCAGUCCCACACCAAAACAAGAGCUAGAGCUUUGGAUACUAAGUUAUCUUCAAAGUUGUGAGGGCAUCCUCUCUCCCCCGACUGCCAUGGCUUCUACACCAGGUCUUGUAGUAGCAAAAUGACAGGCAAGUGUGGGUUACUGUCUUGAGCUUCUGGAAUUAACCAUGGAAAACAACAAAAGAGGAAGAGAAAGAGAGAGAAGACCUAGCAAACACACAGAAGCAACAAACAUGUAAACAUAACAUGUAAGUAAAAAUAUGUAAGUAAACAACAAAGCAUGAGGACGCCCUGGGGGAGACUGAUUCCUGGAACUGGGGAGGGCCAGGGAAGCUGGGGCCUGCCUAGGUAGCACAUGACAGCAUCAGUCAGGAA